AGAUCCGUUGCUGCUACAGAACCCAACUCCUGAGCACGUCGGAGUUGAGCAAGAAGACAGGAGGAGGUGUCGAGGAGGAAGAGGCCCCUCUUCCUUUUUGGUCCACGCCGCUACGAAAGUGAUAUUAGGUGAACUUGUUAUACUCUUUCUGGUUCAAUGGAACUUACCUACGCACAUUAGGGGUUUUACUUUAGCUGGUGAGUGUUUGUGAGCGAGAUGGCUGUCGCUUCCGCAUGGAUCCACCUCCUAGCCGUUGACCACUUCAUUGGAAGGCACGUGUAACCUUGAUGGGCAAAUAUGGUGAAGACUUGAAGUUGAUAUACUAAUGUGGUAUAUGAAGCUAUGAUCAAGGGCGUCACACAG